GGGUGGGGCUUACGUGCCCUUUGUGCAAGCGGUCCAACGAGGUGGACAGCUUCUCUUCGGACAUUAAUGCGGGCCAUCAAUGCGAAACUUACUCCGUUAGAGUUUUUGCCGUUUUGAUUUUUCAUGCUGUUUUAGUUCGCCCUCUCUUUCUCCGUCGUCGACACGGCCAGCCGUCGUUACUCCUGUGUUUGCCAGGACGAUUGCGUCGGGAGGCUAUCGCCGUCUCCGUCGCGGAUAGUUACAUGAGGUGGCGGGCCUAGGCGACGACGUGGCCUCCAGCAACUCGCAGGUCGGGCGUAAGAUGCGCGUGAUGGUGUAGAUAGCUGUGAGGAUUUGGGUAGAUUUGAUAGAGAAAUUUUUUUCUGCUUUUAAACUGAUGAUGAUCUCCUCCAUACUUAUGCUUAUAUAUUGAAAUGAAUGAAAUGAUUUGUCCUCCAGCAACUCACCACCGGGGUGGUGUGGAAUACGCCCGCUGGUGAAGAUGGCUGUGGAUAUUUGGCCGGAUUUGACAGGGUGUAUGUUCUCGAUUUGACCCUGAGAUUUAUCCUGUUUUUGACCUCUUUUUCCCCCCUUAAACUGAUCUCCUCCCUCUUAUUGCAAUUCAUGAUUUUUGCUAUAAAUAGCACCUCUGCUCUUGCUCUCCUUCUAACUUUUUUGCUUCUUUGCUCUUCUGUUUGGUUCCGUGUUGCCUCCGCUGCCUCGCCGCCGCCGACUCUGUCUUUGUGGCAGCGAUGACGCAUCACCACCACCAGAUAGCGGAGCCGCCACAGCCCACGAAGAAGAGUUGGCGGGGACCCCAGCCGCGGAGCUCCAAAUACCGCGGCCUUUUAUCACAGAACUGGCCGGUAGGAAUCACAUGAUUGUGGAAAGCAAGUCCAUUUGGGUCUGUUGUGGAUUUGACACUGCAUAUGCUGCAGCAAGGGCAUAUGAUUGCGCAGCAAUCACGUUUCGUGGGGUCGACGCAGACAUAAAUUUCAAUGCAAAAGAUUAUGAGGAGGAUCUUAAAAAGAUGAGCAAUCUCACAACGGAGAAGUUUGUUCAGCCACUUCGACGACAGAGCACUGGAUCGUCGAGAGGAAGCUGGAAGUUUCGCGGGGUUACCUUGCACAAAUGUGGGAAAUGAGAGGCUAUAAUUGGCCAACUAUUUGAGAAAAAGUAAAAUAUUCCAACCAAUUUUUUUUUUCUUUUUUUCUUUGGUUUUUAAUCAAUUUCUUUCAAUGUAUGUGAAUGUUUUCUUAUAGGCUACAUGCUGGUUUUGAGCAGAUACAUGUAUCUUGGCCUCUAUGGCACUGAAGUAGAAGCUACUAAGUACCUUCAUUUCUUCAUCAAUCACUUUCAAUUUUGCUCUAAAUUUUAUAGAUUUGGCCAUUUCAUUUUCGGGGCAUAUGAUAUAGCUGCAAUUAAUUGCAACGGGCGCGAUGCGAUCACCAACUUCAAUCGUUCCAUCUACGCAAGCGAUCUCCACCUUUCCUGUGAGUUUCUAAUGCCUACUCAUUUCCUUAGAUGUUUUAACUUAUUUUUCUUCUCUUACAAAGUUUGUUGUAGUACAAUUUGUUCGCAUUAAACAUUUGCGGCAGUUGAUCACUUUGAGCAUAAUCUUGAUCCAAGUCUGAGUUGCUCAAGCUCUAAGCGGAGCGAGCAUGAAUGGGUGAACGAAGCGAGCUCAAAUGAAACGGAUCAACGAGUCCCGACGACAUUCAAACUAGAGUUGAAUCGAAGAAUCAGAGCAAAGAUCGAUAACAAGUUCAAUUUGCCCGGAGAAAACGAACUGCGAAGUAAUUGUUAUCCAAUCCAUUUGCACUCCAGUGGCACUUUCAACUACCCGCAGCUUCAAAUCAUCGACAAAGUUCAGUCCCUCCAGUUUUCGCCAAGUGGAUAGCCUUUGAAUUUGAAUUAAAUUUAAAGUAGAAUCUAUAUUUGGGUUUAAUUUCAACAUUGUUGCCUAAUUCUUUGUGGUUUUAAUUUGAAAAGCUGCUAUAUGAGUUUUUACGUGUCAUAUGUAUUUUGGCUUCCUUUUUUUUUGGUUUUUAACAGGUUCUUCUAGAGGAGGAAGUUGAAGAAGCACACAAGCUCUCUACUAUAAUAAAGGAUCUUGAGUUGCAACUGAGUAAAGAGCAAGAAGGAUAUAAAAAAGUCUGAUUUUUAUCAUUAGUAUUCAAUUUAGAACCCUGAGCAAAUCAUUUUCUGCUUGAGUGGCAUUAAAAAUAUGACAAAACAUGUAGAGUGCUUCAAGUCAAAAAGAUAAUUGUAGUAACUUUGCAAUUCAUUUAUUAAUUAUUUACUUUGUAUU